rnacentral:rRNA from 1 species
GACGAACGCUGGCGGCGUGCUUAACACAUGCCAGUCGAACGGAAAGGCCCUGCUUUUGUGGGGUGCUCGAGUGGCGAACGGGUGAGUAACACGUGAGUAACCUGCCCUUGACUUUGGGAUAACUUCAGGAAACUGGGGCUAAUACCGGAUAGGAGCUCCUGCUGCAUGGUGGGGGUUGGAAAGUUUCGGCGGUUGGGGUUGGACUCGCGGCUUAUCAGCUUGUUGGUGGGGUAGUGGCUUACCAAGGCUUUGACGGGUAGCCGGCCUGGGAGGGUGACCGGCCACAUUGGGACUGAGAUACGGCCCAGACUGCUACGGGAGGCAGCGGUGGGGAAUAUUGCACAAUGGGCGGAAGCCUGAUGCAGCAACGCCGCGUGCGGGAUGACGGCCUUCGGGUUGUAAACCGCUUUCGCCUGUGACGAAGCGUGAGUGACGGUAAUGGGUAAAGAAGCACCGGCUAACUACGUG